UGAGUAACCUGCCCUUAACUCUGGGAUAAGCCUGGGAAACUGGGUCUAAUACCGGAUAUGACUCCUCAUCGCAUGGUGGGGGGUGGAAAGCUUAUUUGUGGUUUUGGAUGGACUCGCGGCCUAUCAGCUUGUUGGUGAGGUAAUGGCUCACCAAGGCGACGACGGGUAGCCGGCCUGAGAGGGUGACCGGCCACACUGGGACUGAGACACGGCCCAGACUCCUACGGGAGCAG
rnacentral:rRNA from 1 species